UCUUCCAAGAUGCCUAACUC
rnacentral:siRNA from 1 species